rnacentral:rRNA from 1 species
GGUUAAGCGACUAAGCGUACACGGUGGAUGCCCUGGCAGUCAGAGGCGAUGAAGGACGUGCUAAUCUGCGAUAAGCGUCGGUAAGGUGAUAUGAACCGUUAUAACCGGCGAUUUCCGAAUGGGGAAACCCAGUGUGAUUCGUCACACUAUCAUUAACUGAAUCCAUAGGUUAAUGAGGCGAACCGGGGGAACUGAAACAUCUAAGUACCCCGAGGAAAAGAAAUCAACCGAGAUUCCCCCAGUAGCGGCGAGCGAACGGGGAGCAGCCCAGAGCCUGAAUCAGUGUGUGUGUUAGUGGAAGCGUCUGGAAAGGCGUGCGAUACAGGGUGACAGCCCCGUACACAAAAAUGCACAUGCUGUGAGCUCGAUGAGUAGGGCGGGACACGUGGUAUCCUGUCUGAAUAUGGGGGGACCAUCCUCCAAGGCUAAAUACUCCUGACUGACCGAUAGUGAACCAGUACCGUGAGGGAAAGGCGAAAAGAACCCCGGCGAGGGGAGUGAAAAAGAACCUGAAACCGUGUACGUACAAGCAGUGGGAGCACGCUUAGGCGUGUGACUGCGUACCUUUUGUAUAAUGGGUCAGCGACUUAUAUUCUGUAGCAAGGUUAACCGAAUAGGGGAGCCGAAGGGAAACCGAGUCUUAACUGGGCGUUAAGUUGCAGGGUAUAGACCCGAAACCCGGUGAUCUAGCCAUGGGCAGGUUGAAGGUUGGGUAACACUAACUGGAGGACCGAACCGACUAAUGUUGAAAAAUUAGCGGAUGACUUGUGGCUGGGGGUGAAAGGCCAAUCAAACCGGGAGAUAGCUGGUUCUCCCCGAAAGCUAUUUAGGUAGCGCCUCGUGAAUUCAUCUCCGGGGGUAGAGCACUGUUUCGGCAAGGGGGUCAUCCCGACUUACCAACCCGAUGCAAACUGCGAAUACCGGAGAAUGUUAUCACGGGAGACACACGGCGGGUGCUAACGUCCGUCGUGAAGAGGGAAACAACCCAGACCGCCAGCUAAGGUCCCAAAGUCAUGGUUAAGUGGGAAACGAUGUGGGAAGGCCCAGACAGCCAGGAUGUUGGCUUAGAAGCAGCCAUCAUUUAAAGAAAGCGUAAUAGCUCACUGGUCGAGUCGGCCUGCGCGGAAGAUGUAACGGGGCUAAACCAUGCACCGAAGCUGCGGCAGCGACGAUGAUGCGUUGUUGGGUAGGGGAGCGUUCUGUAAGCCUGUGAAGGUGUACUGUGAGGUAUGCUGGAGGUAUCAGAAGUGCGAAUGCUGACAUAAGUAACGAUAAAGCGGGUGAAAAGCCCGCUCGCCGGAAGACCAAGGGUUCCUGUCCAACGUUAAUCGGGGCAGGGUGAGUCGACCCCUAAGGCGAGGCCGAAAGGCGUAGUCGAUGGGAAACAGGUUAAUAUUCCUGUACUUGGUGUUACUGCGAAGGGGGGACGGAGAAGGCUAUGUUGGCCGGGCGACGGUUGUCCCGGUUUAAGCGUGUAGGCUGGUUUUCCAGGCAAAUCCGGAAAACUAAGGCUGAGGCGUGAUGACGAGGCACUACGGUGCUGAAGCAACAAAUGCCCUGCUUCCAGGAAAAGCCUCUAAGCAUCAGGUAACAUCAAAUCGUACCCCAAACCGACACAGGUGGUCAGGUAGAGAAUACCAAGGCGCUUGAGAGAACUCGGGUGAAGGAACUAGGCAAAAUGGUGCCGUAACUUCGGGAGAAGGCACGCUGAUAUGUAGGUGAAGCGACUUGCUCGUGGAGCUGAAAUCAGUCGAAGAUACCAGCUGGCUGCAACUGUUUAUUAAAAACACAGCACUGUGCAAACACGAAAGUGGACGUAUACGGUGUGACGCCUGCCCGGUGCCGGAAGGUUAAUUGAUGGGGUCAGCGCAAGCGAAGCUCUUGAUCGAAGCCCCGGUAAACGGCGGCCGUAACUAUAACGGUCCUAAGGUAGCGAAAUUCCUUGUCGGGUAAGUUCCGACCUGCACGAAUGGCGUAAUGAUGGCCAGGCUGUCUCCACCCGAGACUCAGUGAAAUUGAACUCGCUGUGAAGAUGCAGUGUACCCGCGGCAAGACGGAAAGACCCCGUGAACCUUUACUAUAGCUUGACACUGAACAUUGAGCCUUGAUGUGUAGGAUAGGUGGGAGGCUUUGAAGUGUGGACGCCAGUCUGCAUGGAGCCGACCUUGAAAUACCACCCUUUAAUGUUUGAUGUUCUAACGUUGACCCGUAAUCCGGGUUGCGGACAGUGUCUGGUGGGUAGUUUGACUGGGGCGGUCUCCUCCUAAAGAGUAACGGAGGAGCACGAAGGUUGGCUAAUCCUGGUCGGACAUCAGGAGGUUAGUGCAAUGGCAUAAGCCAGCUUGACUGCGAGCGUGACGGCGCGAGCAGGUGCGAAAGCAGGUCAUAGUGAUCCGGUGGUUCUGAAUGGAAGGGCCAUCGCUCAACGGAUAAAAGGUACUCCGGGGAUAACAGGCUGAUACCGCCCAAGAGUUCAUAUCGACGGCGGUGUUUGGCACCUCGAUGUCGGCUCAUCACAUCCUGGGGCUGAAGUAGGUCCCAAGGGUAUGGCUGUUCGCCAUUUAAAGUGGUACGCGAGCUGGGUUUAGAACGUCGUGAGACAGUUCGGUCCCUAUCUGCCGUGGGCGCUGGAGAAUUGAGGGGGGCUGCUCCUAGUACGAGAGGACCGGAGUGGACGCAUCACUGGUGUUCGGGUUGUCAUGCCAAUGGCACUGCCCGGUAGCUAAAUGCGGAAGAGAUAAGUGCUGAAAGCAUCUAAGCACGAAACUUGCCCCGAGAUGAGUUCUCCCUGACUCCUUGAGAGUCCUGAAGGAACGUUGAAGACGACGACGUUGAUAGGCCGGGUGUGUAAGCGCAGCGAUGCGUUGAGCUAACCGGUACUAAUGAACCGUGAGGCUUAACCUU